rnacentral:lncRNA from 1 species
CGAUUGUGUACAACACCCCUGUGUUGAUAGAGAGCAGCUGAAACAUGAGGAGGAACCAAACAGUGCCCACAGUCUUCUCAAUCCCACCACAGAGGAGCACCAGAACCCCAAUGCUGAGGAGUAUCUGGGUCUCUGUCUGAUGGUGGAAGGAGUAUGUGAUGAGCUUGUGUACCGCAAAGGAAGAGGAGAGGAUUAAACGGAAAUUAUCGGGUUGACAGACAUCAGCGGCAUUGAUGUGUUGUGCUCUAGCUUGCUGCUGUAUCCUAAUGGCACCAUAAAUUACGUCAUUAACGUUAGCUACACGUUGUAGAAAGCUAGAUAACGUAAAAAAAAAAGGAAAAAAAAAAAGAAGCUAGAUAACGUUACAACAGUCCCUUUCAAAGUAGCUAGCUAGCAACCGAGCAUGAUUCUUGAGUCAUUCAACCCCUCCUUGCUAAGAAAGAUGGAUCGUAAUGAUGAGAGAAUCAAAAGAGCUUUAAGACGCCGUCCUUAUGUGGUAAAUAUCAAAUAUGUAUUUGUUUUGUCCUGUUUUUGUUAUAUUAUCACAUUUUAAAUUGAGUGGUGUGUUGACAGUUGAAACCAGUGAGGGUGAACACCCCUGAUUCCGUGUUGUGGCCAACCGGCAAGGUGCACAGAAGGCCACAGCCUGUAAGUCAUAUCUGACCUGAAACAAAAACACAUACACAUUAGUUAUGCAUUCUGCAUGUACAAUCUGCAGUUCUCAGAAUUAAAGCAAAUGCAGAUAUCCCUAUCUAACCUCAUUGAAUGCUGUCUUGACAGUCUACUUCAGUGCAGACCCCUCAGAUCCACAAAAGGCCUGUAAGUCACAUUCAAAUUCAACCACCUAACAGUCCUUAUAUUAUUUAUUGAUACACAAUUCAAGGCCAAAAUGAGAAAAGCAGUGUUGAAUUCAUUCUUUACUGUCAACAGCCAAUCAUUGUGAGCUAUGGGCAGGACCAGACAUCUGGGGAUGGAUGGAGCAUCAAUCCAGAGCCUCUCAGCCAGGUCAUCUCUGCUGUUCCCAUAGAGACACAACAGUUAGAUCAAUCUGUUGAUUCAUAUGGCCAUUUUGGUUGGCUUGGUUGAAUUGACAAUUAUCCAUUCAAGAUGCUAAAGAAUCCUGUACUAUGGAAGAUCUUUAGCCCCACCCCUAAUGUUAUGGGAGUUGCAUUUAUUGCAUUUUCAGUUACCCAUGUAUUACUCACUACUUGUACAACCAUGUUGGAUUGCCUACAUAUU